GAAAUGCGAUAAGUAAUGUGAAUUGCAGAAUUCAGUGAAUCAUCGAAUCUUUGAACGCACAUUGCGCCCGCCAGUAUUCUGGCGGUCAUGCCUGUUCGAGCGUCAUUACAACCCUCAGGCCCCCGGGCCUGGCGUUGGGGAUCGGCGGAAGCCCCCUGCGGGCACAACGCCGUCCCCCAAAUACAGUGGCGGUCCCGCCGCAGCUUCCAUUGCGUAGUAGCUAACACCUCGCAACUGGAGAGCGGCGCGGCCACGCCGUAAAACACCCAACUUCUGAAUGUUGACCUCGAAUCAGGUAGGAAUACCCGCUGAACUUAAGC
rnacentral:misc_RNA from 1 species